GCCGGUUUAGCUCAGUUGGUAGAGCAGUUGAUUUGUAAUCAUCAGGUCGGGGGUUCAAGUCCCUCAACCGGCACCA
rnacentral:tRNA from 1 species